rnacentral:rRNA from 1 species
GACGAACGCUGGCGGCGUGCUUAACACAUGCAAGUCGAACGAUGAACCGGAGCUUGCUCUGGGGGAUUAGUGGCGAACGGGUGAGUAACACGUGGGCAACCUGCCCCAGACAUCGGGAUAACCACUCGAAAGAGUGGCUAAUACCGAAUACGACCACUUUGGGCAUCCAACGGUGGUGGAAAGGAUUCUGGUCUGGGAUGGGCCCGCGGCCUAUCAGCUAGUUGGUGGGGUAAUGGCCUACCAAGGCGACGACGGGUAACCGGCCUGAGAGGGCGACCGGUCACACUGGGACUGAGACACGGCCCAGACUCCUACGGAGGCAGCAGUGGGGAAUAUUGCGCAAUGGCGAAAGCCUGACGCAGCGACGCCGCGUGAGGGACGAAGGUCUUCGGAUUGUAAACCUCUUUCAGCAGGGACGAAGCGAAAGUGACUGUACCUGCAGAAGAAGCACCGGCUAACUACGUGCCAGCAGCCGCGGU